CCCACCCAAUUUCAUCAAAGCACAGCCCUCUCCCCCUCUCACUUUUAACGCCCGCCGCUAUCGAGACCCACUCUGCCGUCGUGAAAGUCAUUGUACAUAGCUUGCUCUAUUAAGAUCGCGCGAUCGAAGAUCACAACUUCAGCAAGCCGAGCAUGUCGCCGUUUCAGAUCAGUUGCACAUCUCUGUUCUGUCUGUCGCCGUUUGGUCGUUCUGUCAAGUCCAUUGCCAUUUCAGAUCUAUUAUUCACCUUGAGCUGUCGUUGUUCCAAAUCUGAUGUUCCAUUGAAGCUAUCCACCGUCGUUUUGCCUCCAUCCGCCGUUACGCUGAUAAUCCUUGAGUUUCUGUGUUACACUUCUUCUUGCCUGUCGUCCUCUUCUUCUCCCACAUUGUCACCCUUCCAUCAGACUCUUCAAGUUUUGGUCAGUUCAUACAUUAAAUAUCCGCGAUUUCUUUGUAUUUCUUUCUCUGGCGAUUAUAUAUUGGAAUUUAAAUUCUGAGGAAUUUGUUUUUCUUCCCAAUAUUACCUUCUCACAUUUCUUUUCUUUGAAUGUGAGUUCGGUGCUGAGAAUGGAGCAUGAUUUUGGGAGUUAAGAGGAGUCUUUUUUGAAGAAGAUGGGAGGAAGUUGCUUCUACAAAAAUAAUAAUAAUAAUAACAACAAACAAACAAACAAACAAAAAACAAAGAAACACACACACACACACACACACACAGAGAUAAGUCUUCAUGUUUGGCUGUGCCCCUCCUAGGGCUCAACUAGAUCCAUGGACAUUUCAUUCGCAAUUAGCUCUGGAUUAAUUUUUGUGAGUUGUUUGAUUUGGUGAACAGAGCAAGUUAUUGACGGGCUUGAUAGAACAGUGUUGGAUAUGAACAGAGCAACAUAGCUAUUUACUAUGAAUUUGAACUAGUGUCAUUUGUGAAGGUGAGUUUCGUUUUUGAAGAUCUAGCUGUAAGCUUCGCUUAUCAGAGUCCAAGCUAUUUUUACAUUCCCCGGGUGAUAAUCAAGUUCAGUUGGCUGGAUAGAAAUAACAAGGUUAAUUAAUUAACCUUUAGCAGAAAUCUUCAAUUCGAGGAUGAAGACCAACUUAUUGUAGAUAGUUGAGCCAUGUUGUUUAAUGAUAAUAAUCAACUCUGUUUUCCAAUCUGACUUGAUUUAUUGGUGACUAUACUUCUAUAUUAUAUAUAUGUCAUGUGGAAUUGCUAAUAUUGUACCGUAUUUUACUUUGUGCUUCUGACAAUGGCAGUCUUCAACUUUUCUAGAUUCUAAUCCUGGAAGGCCACCCCAAAAUAUCAGGCUACUAACAAUCUUAAUAAUAAUUUUAUAUCCAUCUUCUAUCAGUUCUUACAUCCUCCUCUCCAACGGGAAUUCGUAACAUCUUUAAUUGUCAAGUCUAUCGGGUAUAUAUUCCUCUUCAAAGAGGGGUCAUGUAUUCCUUUUCUUUUUUUAAAUCUUAUAUUUUAUCAAGAAUUGGAGGAAUUAAUCUCUUCCAUUUGUAAAACAAGUACUGAUAAGGAGUGGUGCCUUGCGUCUUGAGCUCUUGGCUCUUUAAUAUUUGACUAUCUUUUUAGACUUGUGCUAUUUUCACCCAUCUUGCCGAAAGCACUAAAGACUCUAUUCUACUGGUAACAAAGUGCUGGACUGUGAUUGUGAAAGUUUCUUACUGAUAACUGAUAUAUGAGAUUACAUACUUUAGCAAGAGUGAGUAAGGGGCAAAUGACUUUGGACUGUGGUUGUGAAUUGCUUGUGGAGGUUGACGCAGUGCAGUUAUCACAGGUACAUAAUGUGCUCUCCACUGUAUGUUUGUUUCCCAAACUCGUUGAUAUUAUAACUUUUUUUACCUUGUGUAAUUUUACUUUUAUUUCUUCAUUAUGGAACGUUUUUCAUGUACGACCAAAAUCCUUUUAGUGAACUAGGGAUAUUGAAGGAAAUUUACUAUUAGUCACCUUCAUGCACGAUGAUUGUACUCGAACUGUAGUGGUUCUCUUAUUUUUGUUCUUUUUUGUUUGUUACUUGUACUAUUUUAAUAGAAUAGCUCUAGCUUUGUCUUGGAUGUUUUGCUUGUACAACUAUACUAUCAAAGUAUUAUAUUUUGACUCCUUGAUUAGUUAUAGUUGUAUGAGAUUGCAAAACCCCUUGCUCAUGCCAAAAAGAAUGGGGAAUAAAAGAGUGGUGAGAGAAGAAGAGUAAACAUGCUUUUUGUGAAGCCCUUGAAAAGGUCAAAGGAGGUCCAGUGCAAUGCAACUUUCUCAUUAAUUAUUAUCUUUUGCUUUGCGAAGGUUUUUCACUUUGCAUUAUGAAAUGAAGUAAAAUUUUCCUAUAUGAUUAGAAUUUCAGUUAUAACAUGCAUUUCUGCUAGUCAUGGGUGUACUCCAAUAAUUAAGUUAUUUUUCAUUCAAAUUUAUUGAUCCAAUAAUAUUUUUGUCCUUCA